rnacentral:tRNA from 1 species
GACCCAUGGCGUAGUGGUCACUGCACUCGCCUUGCACGCGGGAGACCCGGGUUCGAUUCCCGGCGGGGUCA